rnacentral:rRNA from 1 species
GAUGAACGCUGGCGGCAUGCCUAAUACAUGCAAGUCGAACGAGAGGAAGGAAAGCUUGCUUUUCUGAAUCUAGUGGCGAACGGGUGAGUAACACGUAGGUAACCUGCCCAUGUGCCCGGGAUAACUUCUGGAAACGGAUGCUAAAACCGGAUAGGUAGCAGACAAGCAUUUGACUGCUAUUAAAGUGGCUAAGGCCAUGAGCAUGGAUGGACCUGCGGUGCAUUAGCUAGUUGGUGAGGUAACGGCCCACCAAGGCGACGAUGCAUAGCCGGCCUGAGAGGGCGGACGGCCACAUUGGGACUGAGACACGGCCCAAACUCCUACGGGAGGCAGCAGUAGGGAAUUUUCGUCAAUGGGGGGAACCCUGAACGAGCAAUGCCGCGUGAGUGAAGAAGGUCUUCGGAUCGUAAAGCUCUGUUGUAAGAGAAAAACGACAUUCAUAGGGAAUGAUGAGUGAGUGAUGGUAUCUUACCAGAAAGUCACGG